GGGCCCGGCCUGGGCGGAGCUCUAGGGCGCACGCUCGGGAGCAAGGCCUGCUGGGAGUUGUGGUUUCUCCCCUGGGGUCUGUGAGGAGAUCCACGUGCUGCCUAGUGAGCCUCCAGCCUAACGCCGAGCCUGGCCAGGUUUUGGUCCGCUGGCUUAGGGCAAGGUUCUGUUUUUGUUUCGUCCUUUCAUUUCAUAGCCUCCAAAAACGUUAAUUGGGCUAAGGUCGGAGCCCAGAGGAGAGACGUGGAGUUUGUGCGUGGCCUGCACGAGGACUGGAGUGGAUCCCCAGCCCCGUGGUGGCGACGGGAGAAGGGACAAAAGGAAGAGAGAAAGAAAGAAACCCAACGGGGUUCGUAGUAGGUGAUGUUUGUGAUUCAACACGAACCUAACUUGCUUGGUAACUCGUGUUCGUUUUAUUCCACGACCCAGAACCACCUUGUGAGACAGCUGGAUCUGAAUUCGUUUCCCAGUUUCACUCAUGAGGAGACUGAAGCUCAGAGUGUCCAAGGAAACCGGAUGUUGAGUAACCGGAAGCAAGGCCUAGCUGUGUUUGCGCAACUGUCCGAACAGUCAGAACAAUAGAAUUCUUUACAAAUGGUGGCAAUUGGUGGCUUUGGCUGCCUACCAAAAGACAAACUUACAGAUGUUGUGCAAAGUGCCUGGUGAAGAGAAGUAAAAAGAGUGAGAGUAAAAAAUGGUGAAGAUAAGCUUAUUUAAGCCAUUAUUACUCCAGUCUGACAAUUGAUUUCAUCCUACUGAUAAGCAGGCUAAGUGAGGAGGUUCUCCUGCAGGCCUUGAGAAAGUAGCUGCCCUCCUGAGAAGUGCCUUGGGGACACCACACUGUGGGGAACAGCAGAGACCUCCAGAAGCUGAGGGACAGCAAGAAAACGGGGCCUUCAGUCCUGUACUCUGAGGAAAUUCUGCCAACAACCACAUGAACUUGGAAUAGGAUCUUGAGCUCCAAAAAGAAACAGCCCAGCCACUACUUUGAUUGCAGUGUGACCUGAGCAAAGGAUCCAACAGAGUCCAGAUUCCUGACACCGACUGAAACCACGAGACCAGGGAUGCAGCUUGGUUUUGUUUGU